GUUUUAUUUCUCAUUACUGAUUUGAGAGUUUGAUGAAAAUACAUUUUUCUGGAAGAUGCUUCUAUUUGUACUAAAAAAAGAAAGAUUCUUCUAUGCAUAUAACUCAUCCAAUUUCAAUAAUUUCAUGGAGAAGUUUGGGAGAUGAUGGUGUCAUCACUGUGAACAAAGCAUUCUAAGGCUCUCAGGGAUACUAAAUUCUCCCAGGAAAAAUUGUUUUGCUGCCAGUUCUGUGUAUCAGGGAGCUAUCAACUCCAGGAUGCAUUUUGGAAGUUGCUGUAACUAUCUGAGGGCUUUUUCACUAGACCCAUUUAUCUGAGGAACACGCUGUUUCCUUAUGAUGGGUCUGUGAUCAUUUGGUGCCCUCAAAUUAUGUACAAAGAAUUUAGCCCUUGGUUUUGGUAUCUGUGAGAACUUGGACCUCCUAUGUUUGAACCUGACUCCACUGCAGAUAAUUAGAAAGUAAGAGCCUGGGGUGUUAAUAAUUUUCAAAGAAGAUGGAACAGACAGGAGAGUAGAAGUUUUUGCCAAGAAAUCUUGGGAAAGGUAAAGCAAGAUGGAGUGGUGGGUAGGGAGACAGUGGGCCUGCAUUUUAAAGCCACAGCUCAGUUUUAGCGCCCUGAUUAAUCCCACACUGUUUACUGAAAUCCAGGCGUUGUGUGAAGCUUCUCUGAUAUUAGUUAAACACCACAGUUACUGUCCCCAAGGAGCUUAUAGACAAAUACAGGAGCAUCACAAGUCACACCGAGUAAACAUUCAUUUGGGAGGUACGAGGAUGGCGGCUGGUUGGCAGGUAGGGAGCCUCCAGCUGAUCUGCGUCCCAGGGGGAUGCUCUAGUACCAGAAAGAACCGCAGAGCAAGGAAGAGGUUAUAUUAAUACUCAGCUUUCAUGUCCAAACACUGCAUCAAAUGUUCACAAACUAAUUCUGGAACGUACCCGGGCCAAGGUCGCACAGCGUCUGCAGCCGGCACAGUUUCCGCCGCCUGGUCGCGUGUCAGCCUCUGCAGUCAGGGGCUCUCCCGGCCAUCACUGCUCCGCGGCCCUGCGGCCCACGUCUCUGCUGCGACACUCUUCGCCAGGCCAUAAACGUCUUCUUUCAGGGCUGCUACACUGAAUAAUAAUAAAGACUACAGACAGAAUUUCUUGAGACUGUUUCAUGGAUAUGUUUACAGCGGUGUGGAAACUUUGGGGAAAGAGCUUUUUCUGUACUUUGGCCCAAGAGCUUUACGGAUUCAUUUCGGAAUGAAAGGCUCAGUCAUGAUUAAUCCACUUAAACAAAAAAAUAAAAAUGGAGUUUCUCCCGUUUUUGAAGUGCAGCUCACCAAAGAUCUGAUUUGUUUCUUUGACUCAUCAGUGGAGCUCAGAAACUCAACAGAGAGCCAACGGAGAAUAAGAAUGAUGGAGGAAUUAGAUGUAUGUUCACCUAAAUUUAGUUUCUCAAGAGCAGAAAGUGAAGUUAAAAAGCAGAAGGGACGGAUAUUAUGUGAUGUGUUGAUGGACCAGAAAGUGUUGCCUGGCGUGGGGAACAUCAUCAGAAACGAGGCUCUCUUUGACAGCGGUCUUCACCCAGCUAUUAAAGUUUGUCAGUUAACAGAUGAACAGACUCAUCACCUUGUGAAAAUGAUCCGUGAUUUCAGCAUUCUUUUUUACAGGUGUCAUAAAACAGGAUCUGCUGUGUCCAAACACUACAAGGUUUACAAGCGUCCUAACUGUGGUCAAUGCUGCUGCAAAAUAACUGUGUGUCGCUUAGGGGAGAAUAACAGAAUGACGUAUUUCUGUCCUCACUGUCAAAAAGAAAAUCCCCAACAUACUGACAUAUGCAAGCUGCCAGCUAGAAACACUAAAAUCAGUUGGACAUCUAUGAGAGGGGAUCAUUUUACAGACCACGUGGCUCGGAAAUCUGAAGAGCAAUGGGCAUGUGUGGCCUGUACGCUGAUAAAUAAGCCUGCUUCUGAUACAUGUGAUGCUUGCCUGACUUCAAGGCCUAUUGAUUCAGUACUCAAGAAUGAAGAAAGUUGUCUUGCCCAUAACAACUUAGUGAAGUACCCUUGUAACAGCUUUGGGAAACCAGGCACAGAAGUGAAGAUCAAAAGGAAAACUGCAUUUGGAACUGCAACACUUGUCUUGACUGAUUUUAGCAAUAAAACCAGUGCUUUGGAAAGAAAAAAAAGCCAAAACCAGAUACCAGAAGGGGAAUUUCAAAACUCUCUUCCUCCAAAUGUUUGUUUUAGUGAUAGGCUGCACCCCUCCAAGGAGAGAACAAACCAUCUAACUCAGCUAUCUAAUAAAGUCAGUGUAUCAUCGAUGGUCCGCUCCCCGUCUGAAUUAUGUAGUCCAGCAUAUAAAAAAUUGAAAACUGCCCAUUGCUUAUCACCAGAUGUCAAAAGUUGUGACCCUGGAUCUUCAAACAGUGACCAUCAAGUCACUAUGACAGAUGGUACUUGCACACUCAGAGCUGGCAGCCCUCGCUGCAGUAAACACAACCGCCUCUGUGUUCUCCGAGUCGUGAAGAAGGACGGUGAAAACAAGGGCAGGCAGUUUUAUGCUUGUCCUCUUCCUGGAGAAGCACAAUGUGGAUUCUUUGAAGCCAUCCUGCUGUGGAUAAGAGUUUGGAAUCCAGUUUACUAUGGAAACCACACUCCUGCCCCAUCCACAGAGUGGAGUGAUUGGUGGCUGGGCUGCCCGCGCUGGACGGAGCAGAACUCACACAAAAUGCGGCCACCUGUGCGCCCGCGUCUCUCAGAUGCCACACCAACCCUCAGCACAUUCUCUUUUAAGUUUAAUCAACAGAACAGCGUUUUUGUGGUGGAAAGCAUGUGGACUUUGGAGCCGUCCGACUCGGGAUUGUCACUGGGUAACUGAUGACCUUGGAAAUCAGUCUCUGGGCCUCUGUAAGAUGACCGUGCCGUCAGCCUCCCCGGGUGACAGACCAAAUGCUGAUGCUCACACAAAGCCCCCCGGUUCGGGCCUGCACCUGGAGCGGCUCAGGAGAAGCUCUGCCUCCAGAAUGAAUCACCUUCGGAAUCUCUAACGAACUGCAGUGAAUAUUGAACAUCAUUCUGACAGUGACGUUUCAUCUCUUCACACGAGGGGACUGGUGAAAUCUUAGAACUGUCACCGUGACAGCGAGUCGGGAAGGUGCCAGAGGAGCCCUCGGACGCAGUAACCCUGCCCUCACCUAGGCGACCCUCCGGGGGAAGGACCGUGUCUCCUCCUGCCGGAGAGGCAGCGACCUGCCCACACCUGCAGCCGUGGGAGGCCGGGCCUCGGACUGCUGCCCUCCUCCCGGGAACUGUGUCCGAAACACCCCUCCCGGCUGCCUCCCACAAGCCGGGAAAAGCUAGCCUCCUUUUUGUCUCACCACAGCGCGCCUGUCCUGCACUGCACUUCCCAUUAUCCAUAUGUACGCACACACACUGCACUCCUACUAGAGUCCAAGAUGAGUUGACAGGGUUUUUUGUUUGUAUGUUUGUUUUUAAUCAAAGGAUAUAUAGCCAUUUAUGUUUUCUAAAUUACCUGUAUUUUCUUUAUUUGUUUUCUAUCAUUCUGAGUGAUCGUGGUAGUCAUGUGAGACACAGCUAAGUUUCAUUUCUGGCUUUUCUUUGACUUUUAGUUGCAUUUCCCCAUCCUUGUUGAAUUAAUAUUUUUGGACCUGUAGACUAACUGCAUUUUCUAAAGUUCUAAACUAUGCAAAACGAUAUAGUUACAGAAGUGUCACCCCUCUUGUCCCUUUUUUUCUUAUGAUUAUGAGUCCUGCAUAAAUACUGGAUACAAAUCCUUUAGAGACAUGCUUUUGCAGAUACAUUCUCCCAAGUGUAUACCAAUAGACACUAGAUAUGUGUUGUUAUUUUCAUAACAUCUGACCGAAGAGACAAUUUUCUUUUAUGUAAAAAUUUUAUGUAAAGUGCAAUAUCUCAUUUUUAGAAAUUUUAGGUUUCAUCUGCUGUAUCCUAAGAAUUCUUUCUCAACCACAUUAUAAAUAUUUUCCCAGUGUUUUCUUUAAAAUGUUUACAUGUUUGCCUUUAAAUUUACCAGUAUUUAUUUUUCAUUGAUUUUUAAAAUAUGGUGCCUGUGGUUUUCCGUUCCUCUAGCACAGUUUGUUUAAAAUACUACCCUUUGCUAUUGAAUUACCUUUGCACCUUUGUCAAAAAGCAAUUGACUACAUGCAUAGGCCUAUUUCACUGUAAUUUAUGCUUAUAUUUAUUCUGAUAAUAUCCCACUCUAUUGACUAUUGUUGCUUAAAUGUAAAUUUUGAACUCUAGUGUGAAUCUUUGGUAUUAUAAUUUUUUCAAAACUUUGGUCCAUUGCUCUUCUGUAUGUAUUUUAUAUCAACUGACAAUAUUUACUAGAGUCCUGCUGGGAUUUUUAUUGGGAUCACAGUGAAUUUCUAGAUGAAUUUUGGGAGAUUGACAUCCUAACAGUAUCAAGUCUUUCAGUUCAUGAAUGUAGCUAUCUAUUUAUUUAGAUAUUGUUUAGUUUCUCUUAUUGAUAUUACAGCUCUUAACAUAUAAAUCUGAGACAUUUUAAUUUAUAAUUAUGUCUUUUGAUGUGAUUGCAAGCAAUAUUGGAUUUUAAUUUUCAAAUGCAAUUACUCAAUUGUAUUGUAACAAGAAAUAAAACUGAAUUUUGUUUAUUGCCUUGUAUCAUGCAACUUUGCUAAACUGGCCUCAUUACCCCUGGCAUUCAAAGAAAUAACAGAACUCAACUUAAGUUCUGUUCUUUGUCUGUACUAUACAUGUGCUCUCACUAUUUGAAUGUGGUUUUUACAGUCAGGAAUAUCUAGCAUAGGGUUGAAGACACAAAUUUUGUCCAAAAUAAACUUGAAUGGUACAAAUCUAGUCAACUACUUUUAUAUAUUUACAUUACAUCACAUUAUGUAAUGUAGUGUAAAUUCUUUCUCAUAUCAAGGAAUGAAUAAAAACUCAAAAAUUAGUUAAAAAUAUG